rnacentral:rRNA from 1 species
CCUACGGGCGGCAGCAGUGAGGAAUAUUGGUCAAUGGGCGCGAGCCUGAACCAGCCAAGUAGCGUGAAGGAUGACUGCCCUACGGGUUGUAAACCUCUUUUAUCAAGGAAUAAAGUGCGGCACGUGUGCCUCUUUGCAUGUACCUUAUGAAUAAGGAUCGGCUAACUCCGUGCCAGCAGCCGCGGUAAUACGGAGGAUCCGAGCGUUAUCCGGAUUUAUUGGGUUUAAAGGGAGCGUAGAUGGGUUGUUAAGUCAGCUGGGAAAGUUUGCGGCUCAACCGUCACAUUGCCAUUGAUACUGGCAGUCUUGAGUACAGGUGAGGUAGGCGGAAUUCGUGGUGUAGCGGUGAAAUGCAUAGAUAUCACGAAGAACCCCGAUUGCGAAGGCAGCUUACUGAACUGUGACUGACGUUGAUGCACGAAAGUGUGGGUAUCAAACAGGAUUAGAUACCCGAGUAGUC